GAUGAACGCUGGCGGCGUGCCUAACACAUGCAAGUUGAACGCAGUGGGGACGGGUGAGUAACUCGUGGGUAACCUCCCAUCAGAGGGGAUAACACUUGGAAACAGGUGCUAAACCUAUACUGAUGGAUGGACCCGCGGUGCAUUAGCUAGUGGGUGGGGUAACGGCUCACCUAGGGGAUGAUGUCUAGCGGGGUUGAGAGGAUGAUCAGCCACACUGGGACUGAGACACGGCCCAGACUCCUACGGGAGGCAGCAGUAGGGAAUAUUGCACAAUGGGCGCAAGUCUGAUGCAGCCAUGCCGCGUGUAUGAAGAAGGCCUUAGGGUUGUAAAGUACUUUCAGCGGGGAGGCGUUACCCGCAGAAGAAGCACCGGCUAACUACGUGCCAGCAGCCGCGGUAAUAC
rnacentral:rRNA from 1 species